rnacentral:lncRNA from 1 species
GGAAAUGGGACAACAGUCGCUGAUCUACAGCUUCGUCGCGAGGGGCACGGUGAUCUUGGCGGAGUACACCGAGUUCAGCGGCAACUUCAACAGCAUCGCCGCCCAGUGCCUGCAAAAGCUCCCCGCUAGCAACAACAAGUUCACCUACAACUGCGACGGCCACACCUUCAAUUACCUCGUCGAGGACGGAUACAGUGAGUGCCCUGGAUCUCGAUCCGGACGAUUUAGGGUUUUCGCUCGACUCGAUCCAUCCUCCUCGCGGUUUUGGCGUGGUGCGAGGUGUGGGUUUCGGUUGAUUUGAGGGCUUAUCUAGGGUUUGUUUUUUGGUUGAUUUUGAUGGAUCGUGAUGUCUCUAGAAUAAUCGAAGGGGAAAUUCGUGCUAGUCCUGGUAGUUUGAUAUCGUUAUUUUGCACAUUUGGAGAAAAAAAAAAUUAUCGAGUGAAAAGAGGAAACGAAUGAGAUGAAUCUUCUUACAAAGUUUUCAUGCGUUGGAGUGGGUCAGGAUGAUUUUGUUUUGCAUGUUGCAUCGGAAAAUAUACUCGGUUCAAAGGAAAUGUUGCAAUAGUGUUUUUGUCCUUUUUUAUCUUGUCGAGAUCACUAGCAAUAUCAUUGAUUAGAGAACUGGAAGAUUUAGAUUAAUUUGAUUGCAUAGUAGAUAACUGGACGGUCUAUAGAAAGCCGAUGGAAUCAAUCUGAGAGUCGUGUGUCUACAAAUAGUUGAUUGAAUUAUUAGAUACCUGGAAGAUCUGAUUGAAUCAGUGAAAAUUAGACAAUCUAGAUACAGUUAUUUGAAUCGUAUUAGGCAUCUCAUUUGCAUUGGCCAUUGCUUAUUUGAAUGUACAUUAUGUGUUUCUUUCGGCCUAUCGCAUCAUGUUUAAGUAUGUAAUUUUAAAGGAUUCUAUUCCAAAAGCUAUUUCUUCUUAUUAGAGAUUAACUGAAUGAUGAUAGUUUGUAGACAUCUGUCUGUCUUUGAUUCUUUCAACUUUGCAUCUUUGCGCUGGGUUGGAAAACCUAUUGGUUGAAUAUUUUGAUUAAGGGUACUUAUCUACCAUCGAAAUGGAGAUUCUCUCCUUGUUCUUUUCCUAGUUACAAAUCAGGGAGACCUUCAAACUUCACUACAGACUUCUAUCUUGCCUUUGCUAUCAGUAGUAGUGUAACUGUGGGCCCAUUAGUAGUGUUGAUAUCAGUUUGAGAGAUAUUUGUGCAUCUUGAGCUGUGAUGGUUCACAUUUAAUCCUCUAGUAUUGGCCACUGUAUAUAUAAGUUACAUAAGAGAAAAGAAAAUUUAAAUAUGCCUCUAGAGAGCUACAAUAGUUCCUCGGUGGACGAAUUUUAUUCUCUUUUGAUAUUUUAAUUCUUCCUUUGCCUGAAGGAAUAUGUUCAUGGUAAAAUCUAUCUUUCAACAGCUAAAGGAUUGCUGUUCACUGGCCUUUUUCCAGGCAUAUGGAAAGUUACCAUGGGCUCACAUAAAUAUUAUCUUUGGUACCAUUUUACUAGUCAUACAUCUUAUUAUUAGAAUAAUAAGUUCAUUUUGAUUUAAGUUUAUAUGCAAUAUUUCUUGAGUCUAUGCUUUGUCAGUUUGUCUUAACUGUUUCAGAAUUGUAUUGUUAUAUAGUCAUAAAGCCCAUGGGUUUUCUGCAUUUGCAUUUUUGUGACUUGCAUAUUGAUUUAUUUUUCUGAUAAGUAUGGUUUAUAAGGUUAGACUUGGGCCUUAGUUCCUUAGGUGUUUGUUAUGUGGACUUGUCAUCCAAUUGGAUGUCUAGCUUUGUUGCCAUUUUGCUUCUUAGGAAAGGUUUCCUCGUACCUGCUUGAGUUUUAAUAAUUAUGUUGCUCCAAGAGGCAAUGUUGUUUCACUGUUGUACAUAGUGUAUAUGCAAUCUUCUUAUCCAAAUCUAAUAAUUUAGUACUUGCAAAAGUUGAGAGUCUUAUAUUUUAUUCUGGUGCUUAAGUGAAAUCAUGCAUCUUGCAGCAUAUUGUGUAGUUGCUGUUGAGUCGGUUGGUAGGCAAAUUCCCAUUGCCUUUCUGGAGAGGGUGAAGGAGGACUUCAACAAAAAGUAUGGGGCGGGAAAGGCUGCAACUGCUUCUGCAAAUAGUCU